rnacentral:rRNA from 1 species
CAGUCGCCGCGGGAAUACGGAGGGGGCUAGCGUUGUUCGGAAUUACUGGGCGUAAAGCGCACGUAGGCGGCUUUGUAAGUUAGAGGUGAAAGCCUAGUGCUCAACACCAGAACUGCCUUUAAGACUGCCGAGCUAGUAGGUGAGAGAGGUAAGUGGAAUUCCGAGUGUAGAGGUGGAAUUCGUAGAUAUUCGGAAGAACACCAGUGGCGAAGGCGGCUUACUGGCUCAUUCUAGACGCUGAGGUGCGAAAGCGUGGGGAGCAAACAGGAUUAGAUACCCCUGUAGUCCCUGUCUCUUAUAC